GCGCACGUGGCGGAACUGGUAGACGCGCUGGCUUGAGGGGCCAGUGAUUACUGAAAUCGUGGAAGUUCGAAUCUUCUCGUGCGCA
rnacentral:tRNA from 1 species